rnacentral:lncRNA from 1 species
UAUGCUUCUCCUAUCACCAACGAUUAAUUAUAAUUGUUAAUUGCAGGUUCUGUAACGGUGUCCUGCACGAGUGCACUAAUCGUGAAUGAUGGCAUUUUGCUGGCGGAGGAGCGGCUCCGCGUGCAGGAGCCGGCGUAGGUGCACCGUGAGAGUGCUGAGCACCCGGGCUGUCAUUCCCAGGUGCACGGUCAGCUGCAAGGACUUCACGUYUCCGGGACUAGCAGGUACAGAAAGAAGCACAGCAAAUACGUUGGCCAUCCGAUGCGGCCGCACGUAUUGCUCGCUCCCUUCGGGGUGUAUCGUCUGUCUGUGCAACUCUGGCUGCGUCAGCCCCUGCGUUGCUGGCAGCCGGUCUGCUCUGUCGUUAGCACUUCUAAGCUCAAACCUGGGACCGACGGGGCUGAGCUGCUGCUGUAGACGGUGAAAAGCCCUGUGCAAAGGGGAACGGCAUUUUGUCCAGCAAGUGAUGCUUUGUCGUGAAGGUAUCCUAUGUGCAGAGGUGCAGUAACAGAUUUUUGCUUCUAAUUCAAGCUGCUUGUGGAGCCUCUGGAGCUAUUGGGACUAUGGAAAAAAAGCUGCAGAAUAAAUUUUGUAACUGCUAAUAAAGCUAUUGGUAU